rnacentral:rRNA from 1 species
CAGGGUGACAGCCCCGUACACAAAAAUGCACAUGCUGUGAGCUCGAUGAGUAGGGCGGGACACGUGGUAUCCUGUCUGAAUAUGGGGGGACCAUCCUCCAAGGCUAAAUACUCCUGACUGACCGAUAGUGAACCAGUACCGUGAGGGAAAGGCGAAAAGAACCCCGGCGAGGGGAGUGAAAAAGAACCUGAAACCGUGUACGUACAAGCAGUGGGAGCACGCUUAGGCGUGUGACUGCGUACCUUUUGUAUAAUGGGUCAGCGACUUAUAUUCUGUAGCAAGGUUAACCGAAUAGGGGAGCCGAAGGGAAACCGAGUCUUAACUGGGCGUUAAGUUGCAGGGUAUAGACCCGAAACCCGGUGAUCUAGCCAUGGGCAGGUUGAAGGUUGGGUAACACUAACUGGAGGACCGAACCGACUAAUGUUGAAAAAUUAGCGGAUGACUUGUGGCUGGGGGUGAAAGGCCAAUCAAACCGGGAGAUAGCUGGUUCUCCCCGAAAGCUAUUUAGGUAGCGCCUCGUGAAUUCAUCUCCGGGGGUAGAGCACUGUUUCGGCAAGGGGGUCAUCCCGACUUACCAACCCGAUGCAAACUGCGAAUACCGGAGAAUGUUAUCACGGGAGACACACGGCGGGUGCUAACGUCCGUCGUGAAGAGGGAAACAACCCAGACCGCCAGCUAAGGUCCCAAAGUCAUGGUUAAGUGGGAAACGAUGUGGGAAGGCCCAGACAGCCAGGAUGUUGGCUUAGAAGCAGCCAUCAUUUAAAGAAAGCGUAAUAGCUCACUGGUCGAGUCGGCCUGCGCGGAAGAUGUAACGGGGCUAAACCAUGCACCGAAGCUGCGGCAGCGACACUAUGUGUUGUUGGGUAGGGGAGCGUUCUGUAAGCCUGUGAAGGUGUGCUGUGAGGCAUGCUGGAGGUAUCAGAAGUGCGAAUGCUGACAUAAGUAACGAUAAAGCGGGUGAAAAGCCCGCUCGCCGGAAGACCAAGGGUUCCUGUCCAACGU